rnacentral:lncRNA from 1 species
CUUGCGGUGCAUGCAUGGAGUACUAAAUGUAGACGAAAUUAAAAACUAAUUGCACAGUUUUAUUGUACUUUGCGAGACGAAUCUUUUGAACCUAAUUAGUCAAUAUUUGGACAAUAAUUCACAAAUACAAACGAAACGCUACAGUGUGCUACAGUGCUGUAACAGUAAUUUGGCACCUCCCAACUUCAACAACUAAACAAGGCCUU